CACCAGCCUGCCCCCCAAGGAGCAGCAUGCCAAAAGACUGAAAGCAAAAGGAACAAAUUCCAGGUCACAUAAACACGGAGACAGAAUUUAAGAAGUAAAAUAAAUGUCCAUUAAAAGGAGCUCAUCGCUCCGUGUGAAUCUUUUGCCACAGAACAUCCAGUUGCAGAUGAAAGGCCUUUCUCCAGUGUGCCAGCGAAGAUGUGCUCGGAG